CGAAACGAGGCGUCGCUUCCAUUGGUAGCGACGACUCUUGACAGAGCAGUGGAGGGGAAGGGAGCGGACGUGACUUUUCCUCCCGCACGCGCACGAGAGACGGCGUCUCUUAUGCAUGCGUGCAGGAAGAGUCGGGAUCUCGCACCGAUGAGUAAUGGCUUUGUGAGCGCAAGGCCUCCUGCACGAAUAUAAUCCAUCACCAUCAGUCGAGGCAGUAACACGCGGACACGAAAUCUUCCGAGCAAAAAGGACAAACGUUGCGUCACGGCCCAGCCGCAUCUGUCACCGCAGGAGGCCGUUGUGGUGAUACAAAGUGGCGAGGCUCAGCGGUAUUUCCACGCGGACAAGAUCUCCCCUCCUCGAGUGACGAGGGCGAUAGAUCACACCUCGAUCACACGCACCUGCACUCUGCCAUGCUGCCCGAGCAGGAGCCGGUCACAACCUGGCACGGAGCAGGUGAGAGGUGAACCGGUUACCGGAACGUGGCACGCCACGUGGGUAAGAGGAAUGGGGUCGCCGCUGGGCUCUCAGUCAGAUACGGCCUGUGUUGGGCUUCAGCUCUCACCGCACUUUAAACAAACAAACAAAAAAGAUCUUCUUGGUUCUUUCGGUAAAGUCACGUAGAAUGGAAAUAAAAAAAAAUAAAAAAAAUCAAACAUAAUAAAAUAAUUCUCACGACGUUUCGGCCACAACGCAAGCAGCCGUCCGUCCUCAGGUGGAGAACAGGUCUGUCGAGAAGACAGAGCCUGUCGUCGUGAGAAUUAUUUUAUUAUGUUUUAUUUGUAUUAUUUUAUUAGUUCCAUUCUACGUGGCUUUACCGAAAGAACCAAGAAGAUGAAUCCCUGCAGUCACGAAAGCGUUAAAUCGAAACAAAAAAGAGUCCACGAUGAC